rnacentral:rRNA from 1 species
AAUACUAGAGUUUGAUCCUGGCUCAGAAUCAACGCUGGCGGCGUGCCUCAGACAUGCAAGUCGAACGAUUAAAGCUCCCUUCGGGGAGUGCAUAAAGUGGCGCACGGGUGAGUAACACGUAAGUAAUCUACCCUCGGGUGGGGAAUAACGUUCGGAAACGGACGCUAAUACCGCAUAAUGCAGCGGCACCGCAAGGUGACAGUUGUUAAAGAUUUAUUGCCUGGGGAGGAGCUUGCGGCAGAUUAGCUUGUUGGUAAGGUAACGGCUUACCAAGGCUACGAUCUGUAUCCGGUCUAAGAGGACGGUCGGACACACUGACACUGAAUAACGGGUCAGACUCCUACGGGAGGCAGCAGUCGGGAAUUUUGGGCAAUGGGGGAAACCCUGACCCAGCAACGCCGCGUGAAGGAUGAAGUAUUUCGGUAUGUAAACUUCGAAAGAAUAGGAAGAAUUAAUGACGGUACUAUUUAUAAGGUCCGGCUAACUACGUGCCAGCAGCCGCGGUAAUACGUAGGGACCAAGCGUUGUUCGGAUUUACUGGGCGUAAAGGGCGCGUAGGCGGCGCGGUAAGUCACUUGUGAAAUCUCUGAGCUUAACUCAGAACGGCCAAGUGAUACUGCAGUGCUAGAGUGUGGAAGGGGCAAUCGGAAUUCUUGGUGUAGCGGUGAAAUGCGUAGAUAUCAAGAGGAACACCUGAGGUGAAGACGGGUUGCUGGGCCAACACUGACGCUGAGGCGCGAAAGCCAGGGGAGCAAACGGGAUUAGAUACCCCGGUAGUCCUGGCCCUAAACGAUGAAUACUUGGUGUCUGGAGUUUUAAUGCUCCGGGGUGCCGUCGCUAACG